rnacentral:lncRNA from 1 species
CCUAGGCUGAUGGUAUAUGGAGGAAAAGUGCAAGAACGCCUGCAGCUUCUGGAGAUAGAUAUGGUAUCCGGAUCUGACCCCCAACUGCAUGUGAUAGAUGCACAUUGAAAUCCUCUGGAGUUCAUUGAUUAUGGUAAGACAUUGUCACCAUUAAAUAAAUGUUUUUGUACAGAGUUAUUUUUUGCUUUG